CAGCAGCCACGGUAACACGAGGGGGGCAAGCGUUGUCCGGAAUUAUUGGGCGUAAAGGGCUCGCAGGCGGUUUCUUAAGUCUGAUGUGAAAGCCCCCGGCUCAACCGGGGAGGGUCAUUGGAAACUGGGAAACUUGAGUGCAGAAGAGGAGAGUGGAAUUCCACGUGUAGCGGUGAAAUGCGUAGAGAUGUGGAGGAACACCAGUGGCGAAGGCGACUCUCUGGUCUGUAACUGACGCUGAGGAGCGAAAGCGUGGGGAGCGAACAGGAUUAGAUACCCGUGUAGUCCCUGUCUCUUAUAC
rnacentral:rRNA from 1 species